rnacentral:rRNA from 1 species
GAUGAACGCUGGCGGCGUGCCUAAUACAUGCAAGUCGAGCGAACGGACGAGAAGCUUGCUUCUCUGAUGUUAGCGGCGGACGGGUGAGUAACACGUGGAUAACCUACCUAUAAGGCUGGGAUAACUUCGGGAAACCGGAGCUAAUACCGGAUAAUAUUUUGAACCGCAUGGUUCAAAAGUGAAAGACGGUCUUGCUGUCACUUAUAGAUGGAUCCGCGCUGCAUUAGCUAGUUGGUAAGGUAACGGCUUACCAAGGCAACGAUGCAUAGCCGACCUGAGAGGGUGAUCGGCCACACUGGAACUGAGACACGGUCCAGACUCCUACGGGAGGCAGCAGUAGGGAAUCUUCCGCAAUGGGCGAAAGCCUGACGGAGCAACGCCGCGUGAGUGAUGAAGGUCUUCGGAUCGUAAAACUCUGUUAUUAGGGAAGAACAUAUGUGUAGGUAACUGUGCACAUCUUGACGGUACCUAAUCAGAAAGCCACGGCUAACUACGUG